CAUGUCUAAGUAUAAGCAAUCUAUACGGUGAAACUGCGAAUGGCUCAUUAAAUCAGUUAUCGUUUAUUUGAUAGUACCUUACUACUUGGAUAACCGUGGUAAUUCUAGAGCUAAUACAUGCUAAAAACCCCGACUUCGGAAGGGGUGUAUUUAUUAGAUAAAAAACCAAUGCCCUUCGGGGCUCCUUGGUGAUUCAUAAUAACUUAACGAAUCGCAUGGCCUUGUGCCGGCGAUGGUUCAUUCAAAUUUCUGCCCUAUCAACUUUCGAUGGUAGGAUAGUGGCCUACCAUGGUUUCAACGGGUAACGGGGAAUUAGGGUUCUAUUCCGGAGAGGGAGCCUGAGAAACGGCUACCACAUCCAAGGAAGGCAGCAGGCGCGCAAAUUACCCAAUCCCGACACGGGGAGGUAGUGACAAUAAAUACUGAUACAGGGCUCUUUUGGGUCUUGUAAUUGGAAUGAGUACAAUUUAAAUCCCUUAACGAGGAACAAUUGGAGGGCAAGUCUGGUGCCAGCAGCCGCGGUAAUUCCAGCUCCAAUAGCGUAUAUUAAAGUUGUUGCAGUUAAAAAGCUCGUAGUUGAACCUUGGGCCUGGCUGGCCGGUCCGCCUCACCGCGUGCACUGGUCCGGCCGGGUCUUUCCUUCUAGGGAACCUCAUGCCUUUCAUUAGGUGUGCUGGGGAACUAGGACUUUUACUUUGAAAAAAUUAGAGUGUUCAAAGCAGGCCUAUGCUCGAAUACAUUAGCAUGGAAUAAUAGAAUAGGACGUGUGGUUCUAUUUUGUUGGUUUCUAGGACCGCCGUAAUGAUUAAUAGGGAUAGUCGGGGGCAUCAGUAUUCAAUUGUCAGAGGUGAAAUUCUUGGAUUUAUUGAAGACUAACUAC
rnacentral:rRNA from 1 species